UACGGAGGGGGCUAGCGUUGUUCGGAAUUACUGGGCGUAAAGCGCACGUAGGCGGACAAUCAAGUUGGGGGUGAAAUCCCGGGGCUCAACCCCGGAACUGCCUCCAAAACUGCUGGUCUGGAGGUCGAGAGAGGUGAGUGGAAUUCCGAGUGUAGAGGUGAAAUUCGUAGAUAUUCGGAGGAACACCAGUGGCGAAGGCGGCUCACUGGCUCGAUACUGACGCUGAGGUGCGAAAGCGUGGGGAGCAAACAGG
rnacentral:rRNA from 1 species